AAAAAAAAAAAAACUGACUCCACCGCCAUGGCUUCUUCGACACUGCCAAUGGCGUCUAUGUCGUCGCCUGGUCCGAAUCUCCGUCAAGCUCUAAAACCUUGCCCUCCCACCGACCUGCAACCUCCUCCGCUCCCUCCACGAGCACACGCGCGAGGUUAGCUCCGCUGACUACAACCCCACGCGCCGCGACUCGUUUCUCACGAGUCGCGUGGGACGACACCGUGAAGCUUUGGACCGUUGACCAUCCCGCCUCCGUCAGCACGUUCAAGGAGCACGCCUACUGCGUCUAAUUUGUCGUCUUUGGUGUGAAAAGCUCGGAAGCUCGUUCCAGUCGUCAAUGGAGGCCUCCAAGACCUCCAGCGGUACAAC
rnacentral:lncRNA from 1 species